rnacentral:lncRNA from 1 species
UUCAGGGCCUCAUUUUCUGGUUAAUGAGGAUGGUAGAGAGGAACUUGAAUCAGGCAUAGACUGAGACCAAGAGUUCUCAGUGCAGUAACAAGAAAUGUCCAUCCAGCCCGGACCUAUGGUCUAUAGCUCCUUUCAGCACAGUGGAGUGGAGAUAGUGCAAAGAUGAGCACAGUGUGACAUGCAGCGAGACAUGCAGUGGCAGAACCUGCCUUAGGAGAAUCUCAGUUUUUAGAAGCUCCCUCAGUGGUUCUAGAAGCAUUAGUGAUAUCACUCUGCUCAGACGGGCCACAACCUCACCUCACAACUAGAAGGAAUUAAUAACAGUAACUGACAUAUCAAGAAAGAAAGGUACCUUGGAAAGAUAAUUAUUUCUGAAUCUUUUACAA